rnacentral:rRNA from 1 species
GAGGAAGGUGGGGAUGACGUCAAGUCCUCAUGGCCCUUAUGGGUAGGGCUUCACACGUCAUACAAUGGUACAUACAGAGGGCCGCCAACCCGCGAGGGGGAGCUAAUCCCAGAAAGUGUAUCGUAGUCCGGAUCGUAGUCUGCAACUCGACUACGUGAAGUUGGAAUCGCUAGUAAUCGCGGAUCAGCAUGCCGCGGUGAAUACGUUCCCGGGUCUUGUACACACCGCCCGUCACACCAUGGGAGCGGGUUUUACC